rnacentral:misc_RNA from 1 species
GUGGCGCCAAUCUGAGGUGUGAGUCUUUUGUUGAAUCUCUGUCACACGAUUGGCGACGAAGGUUUUCAGCGUAUGGGGUGAUGUAUUAAUCCAGUGUAAAACGAUUGUAGAAUCAGUCCAGUAAACGGUCCGAGAAAUGUUGCUUGGUAACGCUUGAAGGACUGUAGUGGCCAAUGAUGCGAGAAGAAGUGCUCCACUCAGUUCCAGCCUUGGAAUGGUUUGUGAUUUGAGUGGAGCCACCUUUGACCUUGCAGUGAGGAGUCGUGUCCAAACAUGACCAUCCGGAGCGAUGGUGCGAAGUGGCUCCACUCAAAUCACAAACCAUUCCAAGGCUGGAACUGAGUGGAGCACUUCUUCUCGCAUCAUUGGCCACUACAGUCCUUCAAGCGUUACCAAGCAACAUUUCUCGGACCGUUUACUGGACUGAUUCUACAAUCGUUUUACACUGGAUUAAUACAUCACCCCAUACGCUGAAAACCUUCG